rnacentral:rRNA from 1 species
ACAAACGGAUCAAAUUAAAAUUAAUGACAGUAAAAAAGGAGGUUAUAAGAAUGUUUUCUGGAAAAAUAAUGCUUUUUAGGGAGGUGGAAUUUUAAUAAGAAGAGGUAAUUUAGGUUUUUCUUUUUUUGACGCCUCGAAAUUUUGUUUAUAAAACCGGGAUUAGAUACCCCGUUAUUCAAAAUGUAAACUUUGAUUGUGUUUGUGAUUUACUUGAGUAUUACGAGUAUAGGAAUAGUUUGUUUCAUUAUAUUUCUUAAAACUCAAAAAACUUGGCGGUGCCUUAUAUCCUUUCAGGGGAACCUGUCCUAUAAUCGAUAGUCCACGAUUUAACUUUCUUUCUUUUGAAUUUGUUAUCAGCUUGUAUACCGUCGUCGUCAGGUUACCUUUAAGAGUUUUGAAGUUAUCGGUGAGAAUUGGGUUAUAUUAGUUGCGGGCUUAUUACCUGAGGAUUAAUUGUAUAGUUCUAGACGUCAGAUCAAGGUGCAGCCUAUAAGGAAGUAGAGAUGGGUUACAAUAAUAAAUUAUUAUACGAAUUUUUGUUGUAAUAGCAAAAUUGAAGGAGGACUUGAAAGUAAUUAGUUUAGAGAUAAGAGAGCUUAAAUGAAAAUAGGCUCUGAGGUGCGC